rnacentral:ncRNA from 1 species
AGUUCUGAUGCACCGCGAAACGAAUUUGCAGGUGGAGAACGAGGAGACAAUCGAGGCACAAAGUGCCCGGACCCUAAAGCGCUGUUGGACGGAAUCCAACAGCGCUUUUUC